rnacentral:rRNA from 1 species
UGGGAACCGGCGUAAGGGGCAGUAAGGCAUGGGUACCUACCCUGGGGUUCGGGAUAGCCUUCAGAAAUGGAGGGUAAUACCGGAUGACGUCGAGAGACCAAAGGUCCGCCGCCCUGGGAGGGGCCCAUGUGAUAUUAGCUAGUUGGUGAGGUAAUGGCUCACCAAGGCGAAGAUGUCUAGCGGGUGUGAGAGCACGACCCGCGCCACUCGCACUGAGACACUGGCGAGACAC